rnacentral:rRNA from 1 species
CCCUUAGAUGUUCUGGGCCGCACGCGCGCUACACUGACGAAUGCAACGAGCUUAUAACCUUGGCCGAAAGGUCUGGGUAAUCUCCAAAUUUCGUCGUGAUGGGGAUAGAUUAUUGCAAUUAUUAAUCUUCAACGAGGAAUGCCUAGUAAGCGCAAGUCAUCAGCUUGCGUUGAUUACGUCCCUGCCCUUUGUACACACCGCCCGUCGCUCCUACCGAUUGAAUGUGCUGGUGAAAAGUUCGGAUUAGGAGUGGGGGAUAGCAAUAUUUCCCGCUUCCGAGAAAAUCUUUAAACCCUCCCAUUUAGAGGAAGGAGAAGUCGUAACA